UACGGAGGAUCCAAGCGUUAUCCGGAAUCAUUGGGUUUAAAGGGUCCGUAGGCGGUUUGGUAAGUCAGUGGUGAAAGCCCAUCGCUCAACGGUGGAACGGCCAUUGAUACUGCCAGACUUGAAUUAUUAGGAAGUAACUAGAAUAUGUAGUGUAGCGGUGAAAUGCUUAGAGAUUACAUGGAAUACCAAUUGCGAAGGCAGGUUACUACUAAUGGAUUGACGCUGAUGAACGAAAGCGUGGGUAGCGAACAGG
rnacentral:rRNA from 1 species